GUGUUUGCUUUGGCAGCACACAUGCUAAAAUUGGAACGAUACAGAGAAGGUUAGCAUGGCCUCUAUGUAGGAAUGACACACAAAUUCAUAAAAUAUUCCUGUUUUAA